rnacentral:rRNA from 1 species
UACGGAGGGGGCUAGCGUUGUUCGGAAUCACUGGGCGUAAAGGGCGUGUAGGCGGUCCGCUAAGCCUGAUGUGAAAGCCCGGGGCUCACCCCCGGAAGUGCAUUGGAAACUGACGGACUCGAGUCCCGGAGAGGAGGGUGGAAUUCCUGGUGUAGCGGUGAAAUGCGCAGAUAUCAGGAGGAACACCGGUGGCGAAGGCGGGUCUCUGGGCCGAAAUUGACGCUGAGGAGCGAAAGCGUGGGGAGCAAACAGG